ACACUGAUGGUGAAACGGUAUCAUGCUUGCCUUCCAAUCUUCGCUACAGCAAGCGGCGCGGGUUCGACUCCCGCUCAGUGUA